GUAAUAUGUUUCGAUACGUAUAUUGUAAUCAAAAUUCAUUGUUUUAAGAAAGAAGAAAAAUAAACUUCAAAAUCUUCUUUGAAAAAGAAAGUUAAUUUUCAUUGAAAAAACAUCUGCUUAAUUUGGUAGCCAAAUAUCAGAAUGAAAAAAAGAAAAUUCUCAAAGCUGUGAUUCAAAACCUGAAAUAAUUAAAUUCUUAAUUUAGAAUGGAAUUAUUAUAACUGGUCAUAUUUUUCUGCACAUUAAUCUAAAAGAAUUUUGUAUUUGGAUUAUUUAGCCAUUGAAUAUGCACCUGCUUCUCAGAUUGGCAAGGCAACAAUUUACUGUGAAGAAUCAGUUGUUUUGAAUGGCUAAUUGGUUACAGGUGCAAUGAAUUAGCCAUCUGCCUUAGAGACUGACUCAACUAAGGGAAGGAAAAUCCUUUUCUGUCACUUUGGGAGCACAUCAGUGAGCUGUGAUUCUAACUUGGAAUUUGUGGAUUCUAUGUGGGAUGAGGAGACUAAGGCAUAGAGGAAUCAUUUGGCUUAUCUAAAGGCAAGCAGUAGUUAAGAAAACCAGAAGGAAAAGAAACCAAACUUUAUCCUGGAGUGGGAGUCGGGGAAGGAGGAAUGGGGACUAAGUUGGAACAUUUUUCAAGCCUGAAAUUCGGAUAUAAAUACCUGCCAUGCUCUAGGAAGACCGAAGUCAGAUUCCAUUAUUGCUGGAUCAAGUUGGUUGCUAGUGGGAGAUCUGACUGCAGUGGAAUCAACAUAAAAGGCUA
rnacentral:lncRNA from 1 species